rnacentral:lncRNA from 1 species
CCACAGAAGACAAGUUGAGGUGGUCAGUAUUCUGCCUCAUUUAUAAUACUGCCGAAGUUAUGUCUCACUGCUACAGAGAUGAACAUUCACCCUGGGAAAAAAGCCAACUGCUGUGUUCGGACACUUAAAGCCUAUGGACAGGCCUAUGUGUUGAGGAACUGAGAUAUCCAGCCAACAGCCAGCAAGGAACUGAGGUCUGACAACAACCUCAUGAGAGAGAUUGGAAGCAGAUCCUGCAGCCCCAGUCAAGCCUUUCAGUUGCUGACACCUUGACAGCAACCUCAUGAGAGACGCUGAGCCACGUGAUGAGGCUAAGCUGCGC